rnacentral:tRNA from 1 species
AAGCUGUUAGUUAAUAAUAACAUAGAUAUGUCAAAUCUAAAUUACAAGUAUUUGUACAACUUA